rnacentral:rRNA from 1 species
UACGUAGGUGGCAAGCGUUGUCCGGAUUUACUGGGCGUAAAGCGCGCGCAGGCGGAUUGGUCAGUCCGGGGUGAAAUCUCACGGCUCAACUGUGAGCGGUCCCCGGAUACUGCCAGUCUCGAGGUGUCUAGAGGAGAGCGGAAUUCCCGGUGUAGUGGUGGAAUGCGUAGAUAUCGGGAAGAACACCGAUGGCGAAGGCAGCCAUCUGGACCGACACUGACGCUGAGGCGCGAAAGCGUGGGGAGCAAACAGG